AUACGUAGGUGGCGAGCGUUGUCCGGAUUUACUGGGCGUAAAGGGAGCGUAGGCGGAUUUUUAAGUGAGAUGUGAAAUACUCGGGCUUAACCUGGGUGCUGCAUUUCAAACUGGAAGUCUAGAGUGCAGGAGAGGAGAAGGGAAUUCCUAGUGUAGCGGUGAAAUGCGUAGAGAUUAGGAAGAACACCAGUGGCGAAGGCGGCUUGCUGGACGACAACUGACGCUGAGGCGCGAAAGCGUGGGGAGC
rnacentral:rRNA from 1 species